ACCCCGCUGAACUUAAGCAUAUCAAUAAGCGGAGGAAAAGAAAAUAACAAUGAUUCCCCUAGUAACUGCGAGUGAAGAGGGACAAGCUCAAAUUUUAAAUCUAUCGGGUUUUACCCGAUCGAGUUGUAAUUUGAAGAGGCGUUUUCUGUGUUUCUGAUCAGUCCAAGUCCUUUGGGAUAAGGCAUCAUGGAGGGUGAGAAUCCCGUCCGGUUGAUCAGAUUCGCUUUACGAUACGCUUUCUAAGAGUCAAGUUGUUUGGGAUUGCAGCUUAAAAUGGGAGGUAAAUUUCUCCUAAGGCUAAAUAACGGCGAGAGACCGAUAGCGAACAAGUACCGUGAGGGAAAGAUGAAAAGAACUUUGAAAAGAGAGUUAAACAGUACGUGAAAUUGUUGAAAGGGAAACGAUUGAAGCCAGUCGUACCUAUGGGUAAUCAGCCUUUUGGGUGUGAUUUUGUGGAGCGUGAGGAGUUAAACGCCUUCAUGCCUGCAUAUUCGUGCACUUUGGGUGUACUUGCCCGUAUGGUUGGUUAACAUCAAUUUUGGUGGUCAUAAAAUGACUGGAGGAAUGUAGCUUCGAUCUCGUAUUGAAGUGUUAUAGCCUUCGGUAGAUGUGAUGAUCGAGAUUGAGGAUUGCAACGGAUACCCUUCGGGGCUACCUGUCUGAUCUCUGAUCGUUGCUCUGGUGCCGAAAGCUUGCUUACGGUUAUCAAAGUCGAUGGUCAAUAGGUUAGAACGGGUUAAAUUCGUUAAGGAUGUUGACGUAAUGGCUUUAAACGACCCGUCUUGAAACACGGACCAAGGAGUCUAACAUAUAUGCGAGUGUUAGGGUGAUUAAACCCUUACGCGUAAUGAAAGUAAUUUUGGUGGGAACAUUUUUGUGCACCAUCGACCGAUCAGGAUAUUUUUUGAUAGAUUUGAGUAAGAGCAUAUCUGCUAGGACCCGAAAGAUGGUGAACUAUGCCUGAAUAGGGUGAAGUCAGAGGAAACUCUGAUGGAGGCUCGUAGCGGUUCUGACGUGCAAAUCGAUCGUCAAAUUUGGGUAUAGGGGCGAAAGACUAAUCGAACCAUCUAGUAGCUGGUUCCUGCCGAAGUUUCCCUCAGGAUAGCAGAAACUCGUUAACAGUUUUAUGAGGUAAAGCGAAUGAUUAGAGGCCUUAGGGUUGAAACAGCCUUAACCUAUUCUCAAACUUUAAAUAUGUAAGAAGUUUAUCGUUACUUAAUUGAACGUGAACAUU
rnacentral:rRNA from 1 species